rnacentral:rRNA from 1 species
AUUGAACGCUGGCGGCAUGCCUUACACAUGCAAGUCGAACGGUAACGCGGGGCAACCUGGCGACGAGUGGCGAACGGGUGAGUAAUAUAUCGGAACGUGCCCAGUAGUGGGGGAUAGCCCGGCGAAAGCCGGAUUAAUACCGCAUACGACCUAAGGGUGAAAGGGGGGGAUCGCAAGACCUCUCGCUAUUGGAGCGGCCGAUAUCAGAUUAGCUAGUUGGUGGGGUAAAAGCCUACCAAGGCGACGAUCUGUAGCUGGUCUGAGAGGACGACCAGCCACACUGGGACUGAGACACGGCCCAGACUCCUACGGGAGGCAGCAGUGGGGAAUUUUGGACAAUGGACGAAAGUCUGAUCCAGCCAUGCCGCGUGCGGGAAGAAGGCCUUCGGGUUGUAAACCGCUUUUGUCAGGGAAGAAAUCCCUUGGGAUAAUACCUCGGGGGGAUGACGGUACCUGAAGAAUAAGCACCGGCUAACUACGUGCCAGCAGCCGCAGUAAAAC